rnacentral:rRNA from 1 species
GCCAAACAACUAGCUUAAACACAUAAAUUUUACCCAACAACAUUAAAAAUUUUAUCUCAACCAAAACCAUAAAAAUAAAACAUUUUUCCGCCUUAGUAUGAGCGACAGAAAAGGCUCUAUAAGCUAUAAAAAGUACCGUAAGGAAAAGAUGAAAGAGAAAUGAAAUAAAUCAUCUAAGCCCAACAAAGCAGAGACUAGACCUCGUACCUUUUGCAUCAUGAUUUAGCCAGCCAUUCUGAGCAAAGAGCCCUUUAGUUCACAACCCCGAAACUAGGUGAGCUACCCCGGGACAGCCUAUUAUAGGGCCAACCCGUCUCUGUGGCAAAAGAGUGGGAAGAUCUCCGGGUAGAGGUGACAGACCUACCGAACCUAGUUAUAGCUGGUUGCCUGAGAAAUGGAUAAAAGUUCAGCCUCACACUCCCCGUCUCACAAAAAGUUACUACUAACCCAAGAGCCCGAGAAACAUGUGAGAGUUAGUCAGAGGGGUUACAGCCCCUCUGAAAAGGGAUACAACCCUGCCAGGAGGUUAAAGAUUAUAUUAACCAAGAUUGCUGCUUUAGUGGGCCUAAAAGCAGCCAUCUAAACAGAAAGCGUUAAAGCUCAAGCAGACAAAAAUCUAUUAUCUCAAUAAUUUUAUCUCAAACCCCUAAUUAUAUCAGGCCUUUCUAUGCAAACAUAGAAGUGAUACUGCUAAAAUGAGUAACAAGAAGGGCACCGCCCUUCUCCCAGCCCACGUGUAAGCUAGAUCGGACCCCCCACUAGCCAUUAACGAACCCACCAAAAGAGGGUAAUACGACUAAAAAUGUAACCAAGAAAACAUCGUAACCCAUUAUCGUUAACCCCACACCGGAGGGCCAUGAGGAAAGACUAAAAGGGGGGGAAGGAACUCGGCAAACACAAGCCUCGCCUGUUUACCAAAAACAUCGCCUCCCGCAAAAAUCAACGUAUAGGAGGUCUUACCUGCCCAGUGACUGUAAGUUAAACGGCCGCGGUAUUUUGACCGUGCAAAGGUAGCGCAAUCACUUGUCUUUUAAAUGAAGACCUGUAUGAAUGGUGAAACGAGGGCUUAACUGUCUCCCUCCCCCGGUCAGUGAAAUUGAUCUAUCCGUGCAGAAGCGGAUAUACUUCUACAAGACGAGAAGACCCUUUGGAGCUUAAGAUAAAACCCAACUAUGUCAAAAAUCAAAAAAGACUUAAACCAAAUAGCCCUGGUUAUUAUCUUCGGUUGGGGCGACCACGGGAGAAAAAAGAGCUCCCAUGAGGAUUGGGGUAAUCCCCUAAAACUAAGAGAGACAUCUCUAAGGCACAAAAUAUUUGACCAUUGAUCCGGCCAUACGCCGACCAACGAACCAAGUUACCCUAGGGAUAACAGCGCAAUCCCCUUUCAGAGUCCAUAUCGACAAGGGGGUUU